UACGUAGGGGGCAAGCGUUUGUCCGGAAUCAUUGGGCGUAAAGCGCGUGUAGGCGGCUGAGUAAGUCUGCUCUGAAAGCCCGGGGCUCAACCCCGGGAGGCGGGUGGAUACUGCCCAGCUCGAGUGCCGGAAAGAGGAGUGUGGAAUUCCUGGUGUAAGCGGUGAAAUGCGCAGAUAUCAGGAGGAACACCAAUGGCGAAGGCAGCACUCUGGGACGGUACUGACGCUGAGACGCGAAAGCGUGGGGAGCAAACAGG
rnacentral:rRNA from 1 species